UCACAGGGACUAUUGCGAAUGCUACCGAGU
rnacentral:piRNA from 1 species